UAAUCUCAUGACAUAAACCAUAAGAAACCUGC
rnacentral:piRNA from 1 species